GAUGAACGCUAGCGGGAGGCUUAACACAUGCAAGUCGAGGGGCAUCACGAGGUAGCAAUACUUUGGUGGCGACCGGCGCACGGGUGAGUAACGCGUAUGUAACCUACCCUGUACAGGGGGAUAGCCCGGAGAAAUUCGGAUUAAUACCCCAUAAAGAUAUCGAGAGGCAUCUUUUGAUAUUUAAAGUUUCGACGGUACGGGAUGGGCAUGCGUAACAUUAGCUAGUUGGUAAGGUAACGGCUUACCAAGGCAACGAUGUUUAGGGGUCCUGAGAGGGUGAUCCCCCACACUGGUACUGAGACACGGACCAGACUCCUACGGGAGGCAGCAGUGAGGAAUAUUGGUCAAUGGGCGUAAGCCUGAACCAGCCAUCCCGCGUGAAGGAAGACGGCGCUAUGCGUUGUAAACUUCUUUUCCGGAGGAAUAAAAUUUCGUACGAGUACGGAACUGAAGGUACUCCGGGAAUAAGCAUCGGCUAACUCCGUG
rnacentral:rRNA from 1 species